AAAUAUGAAGCAAUUAUUGCAGUUAACUUCGACCUAACUUUCUGAUAUAAAUUUAUCCAUAUUUA
rnacentral:tRNA from 1 species